rnacentral:ncRNA from 2 species
UUCUUAUCAAGAGAAGCUGAGGGACUGGCCCUUUGAAGCUUCAGCAACCAGCCAUCUGGUCAGGUGCUAACUCCAGCGGAUUUACAGAUUGUCCGAAAAGAUAAGAA